UACGUAGGGGGCUAGCGUUGUCCGGAUUUAUUGGGCGUAAAGAGCGUGUAGGCGGCCAGGUAGGUCUGGUGUGAAAACUCGAGGCUUAACCUCGAGAUGUCAUCGGAAACCAUCUGGCUAGAGUCCGGAAGAGGAGAGUGGAAUUCCUGGUGUAGCGGUGAAAUGCGCAGAUAUCAGGAAGAACACCAAUGGCGAAAGCAGCUCUCUGGGACGGUACUGACGCUGAGAAGCGAAAGCGUGGGGAGCGAACAGG
rnacentral:rRNA from 1 species